rnacentral:lncRNA from 1 species
CUUACACGCACGCACGCAACCCUCAGGCGGACGUACGUACGCACGUAAGCACGUGCACACGCACUCGCUGGCAGGCUCCCUACGCCCACCUUCCUCCAGGCGCAUGCGCGGCGUACGUACGCGCAAGCGCAGCUCUCGGAGACGCUGCUGGGCGGGAGCUUUGGUGUGUCAGGCGGCCAAUGGCUUUACCUGGAGCGGCGGCUGCUCGUGGGCCUAGGCUGAGGCUGAUGCGGAAAAAGCCGCCCGCGCCCCCCUCUUCCUCUUGCUCCGGGGCAGGCGGCGGGGGGCAGGAGGGCAGAACUUCAAACAUCCCCUCUUGGUUGGACCAAGAAGGGUUAAAUGAGUCUGAUGAAUUGUGGAGGCUGCUGGUAUUGAGAAGUGUGAACUCCAGUCUGCAUGAGGCCAGCCAGGAAAUGCCAGAUUUACCAGCAUUCUUUGACAAGAACACCAGGAAUGAUAAGAGCUCACAGCAACCAGCCCUCUUUAAAGUGGGGACAGAAGAGUUUCAGUGGACACCUUUCCCCCCUGCCUUCACAUUUGUUGGUCAGUUCAAAAACCCAGACUCUUCUCAUUUCACAAAAGGGAAACCUGCUCUGAUCCUCCAUGAACAAGCGCAGGGAGUGGGCCAGAGCAGCGGGCCUUCCUCCUGGGGGCCCUCUGCUGGGGGCCGCGAGAACCUGGAGCCAAGGCGUGACCAUGGAACUGGGGUGAAAAGGCCUUUGGAACGAAGGGACAGUGGCAUCGAGGCUUCGAAGAGCAGACUUCCACAGCGCAGGAAGAAACAGAGACUUUGGGGGGAGGGCGACGCCUCCUCCCCAGCAUCUCCCCAGACCCUCACCUCAGGGGUGAGCCGUCCAGGGUACUCUUCCUCUGAAGAGCCCAGGCACAGCCUUUGCUCAGAGGGUGCCAGAGUGGAAAAAGAUGCCGCCUCUGCUGCCGUGAGCCAGGGAAUAGUGGCACUUGAUAGCUGUCCGAUGUGCCAGGUCCCAUUUACUGGAAAGUUCUCCCAGCUGGAUAUUGAUAGCCAUCUUGCUAAAUGCUUGUCAGAGAGUAUUGAAGAUGUGACGUGUGCAUCAAGUCCUAACCCAAGGAAGGUUAGCUGUGAAUCGAGAACAAAAAAAAAAAGGUAA